rnacentral:rRNA from 1 species
AACGAACGCUGGCGGCAUGCCUAACACAUGCAAGUCGAACGAGACCUUCGGGUCUAGUGGCGCACGGGUGCGUAACGCGUGGGAACCUUCCCUUAUGUUCGGAAUAACUCCCCGAAAGGGGUGCUAAUACCGGAUAAUGUCUUCUGACCAAAGAUUUAUCGCCUUUGGAUGUUCCCGCGUUGGAUUAGCUAGUUGGUAGGGUAAUAGCCUACCAAGGCGACGAUCCAUAGCUGGUCUGAGAGGAUGAUCAGCCACACUGGGACUGAGACACGGCCCAGACUCCUACGGGAGGCAGCAGUGGGGAAUAGUGGACAAUGGGCGAAAGCCUGAUCCAGCAAUGCCGCGUGAGUGAUGAAGGCCUUAGGGUUGUAAAGCUCUUGUACCCGGGAUGAUAAUGACAGUACCGGGAGAAUAAGCUCCGGCUAACUCCGUG